AUACGGAGGAUCCGAGCGUUAUCCGGAUUUAUUGGGUUUAAAGGGUGCGCAGGCGGCCAUUUAAGUCAGCGGUUAAAUCGUGGGGCUCAACCCCAUUCUGCCGUUGAUACUGGGUGGCUUGAUUGCGGUCGAGGUUGGCGGAAUUCGUUGUGUAGCGGUGAAAUGCAUAGAUAUGACGAAGAACACCGAUUGCGUAGGCAGCUGACCAGACCGCAAAUGACGCUCAUGCACGAAAGUGCGGGGAUCGAACAGGAUUAGAUACCCUGGUAGUCCGCACAGUAAACGAUGAAUACUUGUUUUCGGCGAUAUAAUGUCGGAGGCAAAGCGAAAGCGAUAAGUAUUCCACCUGGGGAGUACGCCGGCACCGGUGAAACUCAAAGGAAUUGACGGGG
rnacentral:rRNA from 1 species